rnacentral:rRNA from 1 species
AUUGAACGCUGGCGGCAGGCCUAACACAUGCAAGUCGAACGGUAACAGGAAGAAGCUUGCUUCUUUGCUGACGAGUGGCGGACGGGUGAGUAAUGUCUGGGAAACUGCCUGAUGGAGGGGGAUAACUACUGGAAACGGUAGCUAAUACCGCAUAACGUCGCAAGACCAAAGAGGGGGACCUUCGGGCCUCUUGCCAUCGGAUGUGCCCAGAUGGGAUUCGCUAGUAGGUGGGGUAACGGCUCACCUAGGCGACGAUCCCUAGCUGGUCUGAGAGGAUGACCAGCCACACUGGAACUGAGACACGGUCCAGACUCCUACGGGGGGCAGCAGUGGGGAAUAUUGCACAAUGGGCGCAAGCCUGAUGCAGCCAUGCCGCGUGUAUGAAGAAGGCCUUCGGGUUGUAAAGUACUUUCAGUGGGGAGGAAGGGAGUAAAGUUAAUACCUUUGCUCAUUGACGUUACCCGCAGAAGAAGCACCGGCUAACUCCGUG